AGUAAAUAAGCCGAACACGAGCUGAAUUUUUCAGCUCGUUUAAUAAAUGAGCCGAACACGAUCUGGGGUCAACUCGCUCGUGUUCGGCUCGAUAACAGCUCGAAUACAUAUAUUUUAUAUUUAUAUAAUUUAUUUAAUUAUAUUUUCAUAUAUAAAUAAAUAAUUAUAUAUAAUAUAUUUUUUUAUUAUUUAAUUUUUAACAAAAUAAAAAUAUAAAUGCGAGUUUAAUUAUAAAAAUACUUAUUUAUAUAUAAAGUUUCAACUAUUAGAUCAAAGUCUAAUGGAUAAAAUUUUAUAAAUUUAUUUUUUAUAUAUAUUUAAUCUAUUUUUUUUAAUUUAUUAUUCAUUAGUCAGCUUGUGAGCCAACUCAUGUUCGGCUCGUUAAUAAACGAGCCGAACACGAGCUGAAUUUUUUGGCUCAAUACUUUAACGAGCCAGCUCAUGUUCGGCUCGUUUAAUAAACGGAGCGAACACGAGUCGACUCCAGCUCGCUCGUGUUCG
rnacentral:lncRNA from 1 species